UUUAAAAAUGAAAUGAAAAAAUAAACACUCCCGACCCUACCCGACGUGGAAGCACGGAAUUCAUCAUAUUUUGUGUGGCUUGGUUGUAAAGUUACAUGUUCGAAAUUAUCCAUUCGAUUCCUGUCAGUUGUCAGUCCAAUUCACAUUUGAAGUUGACAUUCAAAUGAGGGAUCACACACGAGCCACUGCAUUUUCAAUUCAUUAUGCUUAGUUUAGUUUGAGUUUAGAACAUUUUUACAAACAAUGAGUACCUCACCUUCAGCAACAACAAUUGCUGCUGCUGUGUACUCAAAGUAUAAUAAUAUUAAUACCACACUUUCAGUUUCAGGACAAAUCAACACUACUUUCCUCUCCUACACCAAAAAGCAGCAUACCCGCUCCUCCUCUGUACAACGAUUACCUCCUAUAGCCGCUGCUCCAAACACCAGGGAUGGCAAAGACAGCAAGAGCAACACCCAAAACAACAACAACGACGACGACGACGACAACGAUGACAAACAAUCUGUCUCUCUUAGUCUCGACGACGUCAACCCGGUAGGACUUGGUCGAAAAUCGCGGCAGAUAUUCGAUGAGGUUUGGAGAAAAUUCUCUGGACUGGGUCAGAUCUCUAGGACUAUACGUACUGAUGAUGUGGAGGCACUAGAUGCUCUUCUUGUUCGUGAAGGUCCUAUGUGUGAGUUUGCCAUCCCUGGUGCUCAGAAUACUACUGUACUUGUUGUUGGUGCUACUAGCCGUAUCGGUCGCAUCGUUGUUCGUAAGCUAAUGCUCAGGGGUUACUCUGUCAAGGCUUUGGUAAGGAAGGCAGAUGAAGAGGUGGUAGAGCUGCUUCCAAGGUCAGUAGAGAUAGUGAUUGGGGAUGUUGGUGAUCCAAACACUGUCAAGGCUGCUGUAGAAGGCUGCAACAAAAUCAUAUAUUGUGCCACUGCCCGCUCAACUAUCACUGGUGAUCUCUUCAGGGUUGAUCAGCAAGGAGUUUAUAAUCUAUCUAAAGCAUUUCAGGAUCACAACAAUCAAUUGGCUCAGUUGCGGGCAGGGAAAAGCAGCAAAAGUAAGCUUACAAUUGCUAAAUUUAAAUCUGAAUCUUCACUGGAUGGAUGGGAAGUUCGUCAAGGAACUUACUUCGAAGAUGUAGUUACCUCAAAAUAUGAUGGAGGGAUGGAUGCCAAAUUUGAGUUCACUGAGAAUGGAGCUGCUGUUUUCUCAGGGUAUGUCUUCAAUAGAGGUGGCUAUGUAGAACUGUCAAAAAAGCUUUCUCUACCUUUGGGUAGUACUCUUGACAGGUAUGAGGGCUUGGUUCUCUCUGUUGGCGGAAAUGGAAGACCUUAUGUAUUAAUUCUAGAAGCUGGUCCUUCAGGGGAUCCAAGUCAGAGUAAAUUGUAUUUUGCAAGAAUUAGUACAAAAGUGGGAUUUUGUAGGGUUAGAGUGCCAUUUUCAUCAUUUCGUCCUGUGAAACCAGAUCAUCCAGUUUUAGACCCUUUUCUUGUACAUACAUUAACAAUACGGUUUGAGCCUAGAAGACAGAGGUCUGAUAUGGUAAAUGCGUCAAAGAACCAGGAUUCGAGAAGCUUUCAGCUAAUAUUGGAAUAUAUAAAAGCCUUGCCUACUGGACAAGAAACCGAUUUUGUCUUAGUUUCAUGUUCUGGCCUUGGUAUUGAGCCUUCCAGGCGGGAGCAAGUUCUUAAAGCCAAGAGGGCAGGUGAAGAUUCUUUGAGAAGAUCUGGGCUUGGAUACACGAUAGUUCGUCCGGGUCCAUUGCAGGAAGAACCUGGUGGGCAGCGUGCUCUAAUAUUUGAUCAAGGAGACAGAAUAUCUCGGGGCAUCAGUUGUGCUGAUGUAGCCGAUAUAUGUGUGAAGGCACUCCAUGAUUCAACUGCAAGAAACAAAAGCUUUGAUGUAUGUUAUGAGUACGUUGCUGAGGAUGGGAAUGAGCUUUAUGAGCUGGUUGCCCACUUGCCGGAUAAAGCAAAUAACUACCUGACACCAGCUCUCUCUGUCUUGGAGAAGAAUACUUGAACAUCCCUGGCCUGGAGAACAUACCUCCUACAAGCAACCUAAAAUCUUCACAGUUAAAUUUACAAACUCUAUCUUUGAUUUUUGAAAAAUUUAAAUAAUACAAAAAUAUUGAUAUCAAUAAAUAAAUUGCAUUAGGCAAUCAAUUGUACAAAUAUAAAAAAAUCAAUGUAAAAAUACUGAAUUUUAGCUUGUUUCUCUAAAAAUACCUUGGAGUUGCAUGCUGGAAUCACUUUUCUUGAGCCGGAAGGAUAAAGGGGAUGGUAGAGAAUCUGUUUUGACUCGGUAUAAUCUCAUUUCUUCCAGUUGUUGAAGUAGGAAACGAUGACUACGUCAAUCUCUUUAGGACUGAUCAGUGAGUGCAGUCAAUAAUACUCUAUGGAGACCCAACCAAGGGAUGAUACAUAUAUCGAAUGAUGACCAUAUCAGAGAUGGGAUAUGCAAUUAUCAAAAUAUAAUGUGGCCAUGAUCCAUUUAUCCCUCUUAGAGGUCUUUUCAAGGAUGGUGUCAAGUGCCUCGUACCACCUUGCAUUUUGGCAUAUCUUUUGUCAUGGCCAUGCUCGUCUAUUGGAAUAUGUUAAUUGCAUUGACUGUUUUUGUUUAUAAUUUGUACAAAAAGAACCAAAAAAGAAAUGUAGAUAUUACAGGGGACUAAUUGGACUUGUUACAGCGUUUGUUAUUAUGAUUAUUAUGUUCAAAUGAUAUGUUUCUAAUUAUUUAAA